UCAGCUUCAAUAAGAUAUAAUUGUACCCAAUGAAGGUCAUCACUUUCAGGAAGCAUCUGGACGAACAGUCCUGCCACGCUCUUUGAAGUUCCCGACACAUGGGUUGUAGGCUGUCAUGAAUGUGUACGUGCUUAACCAGUGAAUUCCAUGUUGCUCGUGUGAGGCCUUUCCUGUCAUGACCCACUGUGCUUAAGAACCUGCCUGAUGGGGAGUGUCGGCUGUGAAAUCUGCAAAAAGAGCUGACGUUCCGGCUGCCGUGAUCAUGAAUUGGGGGUGUACUCUCCUGCCUGUGCAUCUUCUCGCGCUGAGAUUUUGAGGCGGUUGCAGCCCUCGGUUAGUCUCCCAGUGGAGAGAAAUCAGUUGUGCCUCCCUGCUUCCCACCAUAGCUGCCUGAAAACAUGACGCUCUUACGCUUGUCCUUCCAUCAGGAAGGUGUCCACUCACGCCCACCCAUGAGGGGGCUUGCCGUAUGCCCUGGCCUUUGGGCAUAUUUAUGUAGAGUUCCUUUCUCCUAAGACGUGAGUUUCUGAUGGGGGAUGUACGAGUAAAAAGGUUAACUUCUGUUCUUAUGCGUGGCGCUGUGUUCACUUUCCAGAGUCUGUUUGGAUGGCGGUCUCGGGGUACGGCAGCGUGUGUGUGUAUGUGUGUUUGUGUGUGUGUGUGUGUGUGUGAAAUCGUGCAAAUCUACAUGUCCCAGCCCAUUCUCUGUUGAAACAGAUCACAGCAACGACAAACACUCAUGGCGCCGCUUCACUCCACCCGCUUCAGAUAGAUCAUUGUUAGAUAUUUCACAUUUUUGUAUGGUGGAAAUAAAAAUGAAAAAUGUAUUUCCAAAAGAUGAAAAUUAAAGACAUUUUC
rnacentral:lncRNA from 1 species